rnacentral:lncRNA from 10 species
CUCCUGACCUCAAGUGAUUCACCCGCCUUGGCCUCCCAUAGUGCUGGGAUUACAGACAUGAGCCACUGCACCUGGCUGAAAAUGCUCAUUUUUUUUUUUUUAAUUUAGUUUUUGUAGAAAUGGUGUCUCGUUACAUUGCCCAGGCUGAUCUUGAACUCUUGGCCUCAGGUGAUCCUCCUGCCUUGGCCUUCCAAGUGCUGGGAUUACAGGUGUGAGCCACCACGCCCUGCCAAAAAUGUGCAUUUCUAGCAGGUUCCCAGGUGACGCUGCUGGCCACAGGGGCUGACGCUGCGGGAAGCCCUGACCUAGUGCACAACCCAUUGGGCUCUUCACUGUCAGUGUAGAGGCAUAGGUCCAAAAUAUGUUUCCCCAGUCAAAAACAUGUAAGGUUUGCACCAGGAGUGGAAGGAAACAAACAAACAUAAACCAAAGCAAAGACACUUAAGGGCUGGGUACUCAUGCCUGUAAACCCAACACUUUGGGAGUUUGAGGCAGGAGGCUCAUUUGAGGCCAGGAGUUUGAGACCAGCCUGGGGAACAUAGUGAGACCCUGUUGCAACAAAAACCAGAAAAACAACAAAAAGAAGACAUUGGAAAAUGGCUGGAGCUGAUUCUAGGUGAAUAAACAACCCUCGACUU